rnacentral:tmRNA from 1 species
GGGGAUGACUGGAUUCGACACGGGGCAAGGGAUGGGGCGCCAUGCCGAGCAGCCCUACGUUAGGGGCACGAAAGGUGCACCAAGUAAGAGGUUCACCAUGUUGAUUAACGACAGCAAGUUCGCGUUGGUCGGAAGAGCCGCGGUAUAGUGCGCAGAUACACUGAAGGACUAGGCUGACGGGUCAUAGUGCGACGGUAAACAAAGCAUGUUGUGCACCCCAUCCCUCUCCGCUGGACGUGGGUUCGAGUCCCACCAUCUCCA